rnacentral:rRNA from 1 species
GGGCUCACAUGCAAUCGAAGGGUAACGGAAAUCAGCUUGCUAUUUGCUGACGAGGGGCGGAGGGGUGAGUAAUGUCGGGAAAACUGCCUGAUGGAGGGGGAUAACUACGGGAAACGGUAGCUAAUACCGCAUAACGUCGCAAGACCAAAGAGGGGGACCUUCGGGCCUCUUGCCAUCGGAUGUGCCCAGAUGGGAUUAGCUAGUAGGUGGGGUAACGGCUCACCUAGGCGACGAUCCCUAGCUGGUCUGAGAGGAUGACCAGCCACACUGGAACUGAGACACGGUCCAGACUCCUACGGGAGGCAGCAGUGGGGAAUAUUGCACAAUGGGCGCAAGCCUGAUGCAGCCAUGCCGCGUGUAUGAAGAAGGCCUUCGGGUUGUAAAGUACUUUCAGCGGGGAGGAAGGGAGUAAAGUUAAUACCUUUGCUCAUUGACGUUACCCGCAGAAGAAGCACCGGCUAACUCCGUGCCAGCAGCCGCGGUAAUACGGAGGGUGCAAGCGUUAAUCGGAAUUACUGGGCGUAAAGCGCACGCAGGCGGUUUGUUAAGUCAUAUGUGAAAUCCCCGGGCUCAACCUGGGAACUGCAUCUGAUACUGGCAAGCUUGAGUCUCCUAGAGGGGGGUAGAAUUCCUGUGUAGCGGUGAAAUGCUUAGAGAUCUGGGGAAUACCGGUGGCGAAAGCGGCCCCCUGGACGAACACUGACGCUCAUGUGCGAAAGCGUGGGGAGCAGACAGGAUUAUAUACCCUGGUAUUCCACGCCAUAAACGAUGUCACUGGAGGUUGUGCCCUUUGAGCGUGUCUUCCGGACUAACGCGUUAAGUCGACCGGCUGGGAGUACGGCCGAGGUUUAAACUCAAAUGAAAUGAGGGACCCGCGAGGCCGGU